GCGGAAUUAGUUUAGUGGCAGAAUGGCUGCUUCCCAAGCAGCAGGUACGGGUUCGAUUCCCGUAUUCCGCA
rnacentral:tRNA from 1 species